GUCUGAAGUAAGCCGGUUUCUUGUUGUCCAAGAAAGAUGGAGUUGUUUUCGAAUAAUUCUGAUAAACCAGAAAGAAAUACAGCUUCUUUUGGUGCACUGCAUUUUAGCUUAGCAUUGAUUGGUCUGGAGAAGUUAAUGGAUCGGGAAUUUUCAUGCCCAUGUAACCCUGGGUUUAACAUGGUGCUGAUCAGCUUCAUCUUUCUUGGACCUGCUCUUCUAGCUCUGACUAUGAUGAUGUUCAUCCAAAGACCCUGCAGACGUUCAUCCUCUCAUUGUGCUGGGAUAUUUUUAUUUAGUCUGAUUCCAUCUGCAUUGUGGAUGUUUCUGUUGCUGUUUGAAGGUGAAUAUGUUGCGUGUGGCAUGGCACACUGGGAAGGAGAUUACGUCUUGGAUGAAGAGCUCCAGAUUAAAUGGUGCAAACCCACGGGAAUAAGGGACGGCAAAGUGAAUGGAACAAAACUGCUGGAACUGACCGAAAAAAUCAUUUUCUACUCAAGAUUUUCAUCUUUAGUUCUGCUCACAUUCCUCGCCGUUGUUGUCAUUGCUGCUGUGAGCUUUCAGGAUUGUAGAACAAGAUGUCUGGAGCAUCAGGAAAAGCGGGAUAAACCAGCACAGUUUCCAGAGUCAUCCAUCUACGGUUCAGAGGUUGAACUACAGCGAGCUGCCUGAACUCAUCAGGGUGAUCUGCUUACAAAUCCACCUAGAUUAAGACUGUAACAGGGAACAACUUGAAUCAUGGGUCAUUUCUAGGGUGACGUCUGCUGAUUUGACAAGCUAUCUGGAUUUACUGCAUUUGUACCUGAUGAAUUGUUUUCUAACACAUCUUUGUGGUUUGCUGUAUUGUCUUAGUGUAACCUUAUAUAUAUACGAUCAAUUGGAUUCAACCUCCUAGCUGUGUUAAAUGUAAAAUACAUAAUAAUAGUGUGGAUGUGAAAUAUAAUAAUUAAAAACAAUGUAAACCCAAAGGUUGUUUUAAAAUAUAUAAUGUCUUAAUGUUACUCACAAAGAAAUUUGACUCACUCAAAACUCAAAAAUGUACUUUCUAAAUGGUUUAAAAUGCUGUUUAAUAUAUUGAAUUAUUUUAAACUUGGCAAAAAACCAUUUGUAUCGUAUGUCUGUAGAAAAGAGUAAAAUUAAGGUGAAACUACAAUCUUUCACAGCUAUGACUGAAAUGCAUUUUUACUGGAUUUUUUUUUUUUUUUUUUUUUUUUUUUUUUUUUUUUUUUUUUUAAUUCACAUGGUAAACAAGUUUUAACAAACAUUAACAAAUCUAUAACACACACACACAACAUCAAACUGUUAACCAUCUCAAAGAAGUAAUAAACUCAUCAAAAAUGCAAAUGCA
ensembl:lncRNA